rnacentral:rRNA from 1 species
UAAGCGUGCGCAGGCGGUUUUGUAAGACUGUCGUGAAAUCCCCGGGCUCAACCUGGGAAUGGCGAUGGUGACUGCAAGGCUAGAGUUUGGCAGAGGGGGGUAGAAUUCCACGUGUAGCAGUGAAAUGCGUAGAUAUGUGGAGGAACACCGAUGGCGAAGGCAGCCCCCUGGGUCAAAACUGACGCUCAUGCACGAAAGCGUGGGGAGCAAACAGGAUUAGAUACCCGAGU